AGGCCUGAAGAGAGAAGCUGGGUCUGAUCCGUAGCCUCUGUGGCAGCUGUUGAUCAGCACCUGCCUCUCUCUUUAGCUCCA
rfam:Myotis lucifugus cont2.825, whole genome shotgun sequence.